GUUGGUGUUGAUGACGUAGGGGGUCCACCUGUUCCCAUUCCGAACACAGAAGUUAAGCCCUAUAGUGCCGAAAAUACUUGGCUGGUGACGGCCCGGGAAAAUAGGAAGAUGCCAACA
rnacentral:rRNA from 1 species